ensembl:misc_RNA Metazoa_SRP Metazoan signal recognition particle RNA
GCUGGGUCUGGUGUUGCACACCUGUAGUCCCAGCUACUCAGGAGGCGGAGGCAGGAGGAUCACUUGAGCCCAGGAGGUUGAGGCUGCAGUGAACCACGAUCAUGCCACUGCACUUUAGCCUGGGUGACAGAGUGAAACCCUGUCUCAA